CCCGUGAUAGCUCAGUUGGUAGAGCGGAGGACUGUAGAUCCUUAGGUCGCUGGUUCAAAUCCGGCUCGGUGGGA
rnacentral:tRNA from 1 species